GUCUGCUGCACCCUGUGCGUCUCCGGCCACCGCAACCACCACGUCGUCCAGAUACGGAAGUCGUCGUACCGCGAAGUGAUCCGGGUGGCGGAGCUGAAGGCGGUGGCUGACAUCUCCCUGGUGCAGACGUACGUCAUCAACUACGACAGGGUGGUGUUUCUGAACCGGCGGCCGCAGGCGCCGCAGCAUGGCGUCAAGUGCGUCGGCCCUGCCGGGGCGUGCCGGGAGUGCGGCCGGGGACUCGUGGACGCCAACUUCCGUUUCUGCUCACUGAGUUGCAAGCUUGAUGGAAUGGUGUCAAAUCCCAAUUUGACAUUCAUGAUUGAUCCGAGGCGCAACCGGGGAAAUUCAGGCUCAAACACAGAAGAUGAAGGCGAGGCCGAUGAUCUGCAGGGGCCUAGCGACCCUCCGUGGGGAUGGAUCAGCUACCGCCGCCGGCCCCGGAAGGGUGUCCCUGAAGUGGCACCCUUCUAUUGUUCUUGGUUGUUUUUGGUCAGUUGUCACCAAUUUUGA
rnacentral:rRNA from 1 species